GGUUUCUGCUUCCAACUCGUAUCACCCUUUUUACUUGGGGGGACGCUUUGACCAUUUGACCUCAAAUCAGGUAGGACUACCCGCUGAACUUAA
rnacentral:rRNA from 1 species